UUGCUCUCUGGGUGGCGAGUGGCGGACGGGUGAGGAAUACAUCGGAAUCUACUUUUUCGUGGGGGAUAACGUAGGGAAACUUACGCUAAUACCGCAUACGACCUACGGGUGAAAGCAGGGGAUCUUCGGACCUUGCGCGAUUGAAUGAGCCGAUGUCGGAUUAGCUAGUUGGCGGGGUAAAGGCCCACCAAGGCGACGAUCCGUAGCUGGUCUGAGAGGAUGAUCAGCCACACUGGAACUGAGACACGGUCCAGACUCCUACGGGAGGCAGCAGUGGGGAAUAUUGGACAAUGGGCGCAAGCCUGAUCCAGCCAUACCGCGUGGGUGAAGAAGGCCUUCGGGUUGUAAAGCCCUUUUGUUGGGAAAGAAAUCCAGCUGGUUAAUACCCGGUUGGGAUGACGGUACCCAAAGAAUAAGCACCGGCUAACUUCGUGCCAGCAGCCGCGGUAAUACGAAGGGUGCAAGCGUUACUCGGAAUUACUGGGCGUAAAGCGUGCGUAGGUGGUCGUUUAAGUCCGUUGUGAAAGCCCUGGGCUCAACCUGGGAACUGCAGUGGAUACUGGGCGACUAGAAUGUGGUAGAGGGUAGCGGAAUUCCUGGUGUAGC
rnacentral:rRNA from 1 species